rnacentral:rRNA from 1 species
AGGACGAACGCUGGCGGCGUGCUUAACACAUGCAAGUCGAGCGGAAAGGCCCUUCGGGGUACUCGAGCGGCGAACGGGUGAGUAACACGUGAGCAACCUGCCCCUGGCUCUGGGAUAGCCUCCGGAAACGGGGAUUAAUACCGGAUAUUCACUGUCUCCUGCAUGGGGGGUGGUGGAAAGUUUUUCGGCUAGGGUGGGGCUCGCGGCCUAUCAGCUUGUUGGGGGGUGACGGCCCACCAAGGCGACGACGGGUAG